GUUGUUAUAUUUGGCUUCUUAGGGAAAUACCUGAGCAGAAUGUCCACCUCUCUUGGCGUCUCAUAAUUUUAUUAUCAGUCUUUCUAGUCACCUGCUCUUACAAAUAGGCCCGGGAACUUUGGGCAUCCUUGUGCCUUAAUGGUAUUUUUAAAAUGCCUCCUACCUCCUCUUUAAUUAACUGCAAUCAGGAAGGCUAGUUGGUGGACACAUGGUGUCAUCACUCUGUGAAAUGCUGCCUGAUGGCUAUAAACAUGGCCAUAUGCUCUCUGUGAAAUAUGGCUGCAAUCACCAGCAACAGGAACAGCUGAUGGGAGAAGAAGACUCGGCUUCUCACUUUCUUCUGCUUUAUUCUCCAAACCUGGGAGGCACUUUGCAGGAAAUCCUCAAGGUACAAAGAGGAUAUUUUGAAACCAAUCUGUUUACAUCAGAAGUGUUGAACAAGUUUGUUAUACAAGAAAGGAAACAGUGGAAUGAAAAUCAAACUGACCCCAUCAGACUUCCUGGUCACAGAAAUGAUAAUCUGAUGGCGACCAGGCUGCAUCACUUUCCCUGGGGGUCAGUGUUUAGGAGACUGAGAGCUGGCUGAUUUGAAGGACCCUAGACUAAAGCAAGCAUACAUUGGACUGUCCUCUCUGGGGGGUCAGAUCCACUGCUCUGGACUGGACAUUGCAGAACAGACAAUGACAUUAUUAACACCUCAAAGUCAGGACUCUGUGCUGUGUCUUCACUUGAAGGCUUUCUUUUUCUGUAGGAAUGAGAUUUUUGUUACAUUCCUGAUCCCACGCCAUAGCUCUUUUAUUGAGGAAAAAUAUGAUUUAAAUACAAUGAGACAAAUUGAUAAGUCAGAGUCUGUCCCCAAAAACGCAUCAUCUGGAAAAUUAUCCUGAACUAUUAUCAAAAGCUAUUUCUACAAUCUUAACAUAGGUAGAGAACUUACCAAGUUAAACAUCAGAGGUGAAGAAUGGGUUCUAUCAACUGGAUUUAAUCAACAAGCUUUUUUCUUUUUAAGCUGAGAAGAGAGCUGAUAUCAACAAUAACCU
ensembl:lncRNA